rnacentral:misc_RNA from 1 species
GAACCUCAAUAACAGAGAGAGUCAAAUCAUGGAUAGGGCGCAGCUUGCUUGCUUCAAAUGAUGCUUCAAUAUCCUUGAUUUGACUCUCUCUGUUAUUGAGGUUCUCCAAAAGGUUACGGCCUACUUUCAUUUCUCGCAAUUCUUUUGCUUGCUUUUCAGUAAGAGACUGUUUAGCCGAUUCCAUACUUAAAGGAGAUAUGUAUUGAGUUUUGACCAGCCAAGAAACACCUUUAUC